rnacentral:lncRNA from 1 species
GAAAUUGCUUUUUGCUGACAGCAUCUGUGGCUAAAUGUCUCAGUACAAACUGUUGCCAGAGUGUACUUUGCAGAGUAUGAGGGCUGGAGACAGCCAGGAUAUCAGUAACCCGUUACCUGACUGUGAACAGAUCACUUAAAUGUUUGGCAUAUCAUUUACUCUGCCUUUAAAUUUGGAACGAUAUGGAUCCACGAUAGCUCCCGUGCAAAGUAUACAUGUGAAAAAUAUUAUGGGAAUAUAAACUUUUCAUAGUAAUAUUUUGUGCAAGCCAAUUGUAAAAGGCAGCGUGAGACUCUCCCCGCUCUGUGUCAGUAAUAAGUGCAGUUUCAAAGGAAAAGUUCACACAAUGUACGUGGAAUAUCUCGUACCUGUGUUGUGAGCUGGGUGGGAGAAUGCAUACUGCAUUUUUCCAUGUAGCAUUAUCUACCUCAAUAGCCAGAUGAUUUUUAUUCAUUCAUCAACUUAUUUUUAUUUAAUAUAUGUGUAUUCAGAAAAACAGAUGAAACAGAAUUCCUCUGAGGACUUCCUGAAACAAGUGGAUUCCUCAUAUUCUGGACUCCAGUGAAAAAUAUCUCAUCACAAGCCAUAAUAGCAUAACACAUAUAGGAAGAUGAGAACAGACACAAUUUGUAGGAAACUUUUAAUCAACAUAAGUUUCUCAUGAUGUUUAUCAGAAACAAGUCUCUAAGGAAUGGCAGCAACAAGCAGACACAUCAUUUGACUCUUUGGCACAAGAUACUUCUGUUUUCCUUCUUGUCUGCUUAAAGAAGGAGGUCUGAAGGAGGGAAAAACAAUGAAGAAAUUCUUAAUAUACUCUUUAUACGAAAAUGAUGACUUCAAGGACUCAGGAACCAACAUUGCUAAAGGUGUUCCUGCACGCCGGUCUCAGUCAGUUCCCUCAGCCCCUCUGUCCUCCUGGAAGUCGUCGUUUUCUGCGUUCCUGUGUCAUUUCUCACCUUCCUUGUACCAUUUACCAGUGCAAGCUCCCUUGGAAGUGUUCCUUCAACUUUGCAUGCACGUUAACAAUUAAAUGUAAGUUCCCUCUUUUAAUCUGCUGUGAUUAUUUUAAAUAAUUAAAAUUAAGAGGCCCUUUUCCCACCCGAAGGCAAG